rnacentral:rRNA from 1 species
AACUGCGAGUGAAGAGGGAAAAGCUCAAAUUUGAAAUCUGGCAGGUCUUGUAUCUGUCCGAGUUGUAGUUUAGAGAAGUGUCAUCCGCGCUGGUCUGUGCACAAGUUUCUUGGAACAGAACAUCAUAGAGGGUGAUAAUCCCGUCUUUGGCACAGAUUUGACCAGGGCUUUUGUGAUGCACCCUCGAAGAGUCGAGUUGUUUGGGAAUGCAGCUCUAAAUGGGUGGUAAAUUCCAUCUAAAGCUAAAUAUUGGCGAGAGACCGAUAGCGAACAAGUACCGCGAGGGAAAGAUGAAAAGAACUUUGAAAAGAGAGUUAAACAGUACGUGAAAUUGUUGAAAGGGAAACGAUUGAAGUCAGAUGCAUCUUGCAGAGAUCAACCUGACAAAUGUCAGGUGUAUUCCCUGUCUUGAUGGGUCAGCAUCAAUUUUGAUUGCUGGAUAAAGGCUGAUGGGAAAGUGGCAUCCUACGGGAUGUGUUAUAGACCAUGGCCCAUACAGUGAUUGGGAUUGAGGAACUCGGCCAAAAUGUUUGUUUUGGUCUCAGGAUGCUGGCAUAAUGGCUUUAAUCGACCCGUCUUGAAACACGGACCAAGGAGUCUAACAUACCUGCGAGUAUUUGGGUGGAAAAACCCUUAUGCGAAAUGAAAGUGAAAAGUUGAGAUCUCUGUCGUGGAGAGCAUCGACGCCCGGACCAGAGCUUCGUGCGAUGGAUCUGCGGUGGAGCAUGUAUGUUGGGACCCGAAAGAUGGUGAACUAUGCCUGAAUAGGGUGAAGCCAGAGGAAACUCUGGUGGAAGCUCUAGCGAUUCUGACGUGCAAAUCGAUCGUCGAA